CGGGGCGUGGCGCAGUCCGGUAGCGCACUAGCAUGGGGGGCUAGUGGUCGCUGGUUCGAAUCCAGUCGCCCCGACCA
rnacentral:tRNA from 1 species